AUGAACGCUGGCGGCGUGCCUAACACAUGCAAGUCGAACGGACUUACAUUGAAGCCUAGCGAUAUGUAAGUUAGUGGCGGACGGGUGAGUAACGCGUGGGUAACCUGCCUUGUACUGGGGGACAACAGUUGGAAACGACUGCUAAUACCGCAUAAGCGCACAGCUUCGCAUGAAGCGGUGUGAAAAACUCCGGUGGUACAAGAUGGACCCGCGUCUGAUUAGCUGGUUGGUGAGGUAACGGCCCACCAAGGCGACGAUCAGUAGCCGGCCUGAGAGGGUGAACGGCCACAUUGGGACUGAGACACGGCCCAAACUCCUACGGGAGGCAGCAGUGGGGAAUAUUGCACAAUGGGGGAAACCCUGAUGCAGCAACGCCGCGUGAGUGAAGAAGUAUUUCGGUAUGUAAAGCUCUAUCAGCAGGAAAGAAAAUGACGGUACCUGACUAAGAAGCCCCGGCUAACUACGUGCCAGCAGCCGCGGUAAUACGUAGGGGGCAAGCGUUAUCCGGAUUUACUGGGUGUAAAGGGAGCGUAGACGGUUUUGCAAGUCUGAAGUGAAAGCCCGGGGCUUAACCCCGGGACUGCUUUGGAAACUGUAGGACUAGAGUGCAGGAGAGGUAAGUGGAAUUCCUAGUGUAGCGGUGAAAUGCGUAGAUAUUAGGAGGAACACCAGUGGCGAAGGCGGCUUACUGGACUGUAACUGACGUUGAGGCUCGAAAGCGUGGGGAGCAAACAGGAUUAGAUACCCUGGUAGUCCACGCCGUAAACGAUGAUUACUAGGUGUUGGUGGGUACGACCCAUCGGUGCCGCAGCAAACGCAAUAAGUAAUCCACCUGGGGAGUACGUUCGCAAGAAUGAAACUCAAAGGAAUUGACGGGGGCCCGCACAAGCGGAGGAACAUGUGGUUUAAUUCGAUGAUACGCGAGGAACCUUACCCGGGCUCAAACGCAGGGGGAAUGUCGGUGAAAGCCGGCAGCUAGUAAUAGUCACCUGCGAGGUGCUGCAUGGUUGUCGUCAGCUCGUGUCGUGAGAUGUUGGGUUAAGUCCCGCAACGAGCGCAACCCUUAUCUUUAGUAGCCAGCAGUAAGAUGGGCACUCUAGAGAGACUGCCGGGGAUAACCCGGAGGAAGGUGGGGAUGACGUCAAAUCAUCAUGCCCCUUAUGACCAGGGCUACACACGUGCUACAAUGGCGUAAACAAAGAGAAGCGAAGUCGUGAGGCAGAGCGAAUCUCAAAAAUAACGUCUCAGUUCGGAUUGUAGUCUGCAACUCGACUACAUGAAGCUGGAAUCGCUAGUAAUCGCAGAUCAGAAUGCUGCGGUGAAUACGUUCCCGGGUCUUGUACACACCGCCCGUCACACCAUGGGAGUCGGAAAUGCCCGAAGUCGGUGACCUAACCGAAAGGAAGGAGCCGCCGAAGGCAGGUCUGAUAACUGGGGUG
rnacentral:rRNA from 1 species